AGGAGGAACAACCCCAGUGGCUACCGCAGCUCUGGAGCCCUGGAGUCAGCUCCUACAGUAACUACAGAGCUCUGCGUCUGCAGGGCCUGGAGGCUCCGGGUUGGG
rnacentral:pre_miRNA from 1 species